CGAUAACGAACGAGACCUUAACCUGCUAAAUAGACCAGCCGGCUUUGGCUAGCUGCUGUCUUCUUAGAGGGACUAUCAGCGUUUAGCUGAUGGAAGUUUGAGGCAAUAACAGGUCUGUGAUGCCCUUAGAUGUUCUGGGCCGCACGCGCGCUACACUGACAGAGCCAGCGAGUUUUUUUCCUUGGCUGGAAGGCCUGGGUAAUCUUGUGAAACUCUGUCGUGAUGGGGAUAGAACAUUGCAAUUAUUGUUCUUCAACGAGGAAUACCUAGUAAGCGUGAGUCAUCAGCUCGCGCUGAUUACGUCCCUGCCCUUUGUACACACCGCCCGUCGCUACUACCGAUUGAAUGGCUGGGGCGGGGGCGGCGGGCCGGGCGCGGGGCGCGGCGGGCGAGGUCUCGUUCGUUAUCGA
rnacentral:rRNA from 1 species